rnacentral:lncRNA from 1 species
CCCGGAGAAGCCUCCAAAAACACACCUUGGUGGCAGCAGCAAGCAGUAGAUGUAGGAACAGUAGACGACACACACGGUUGGUGCUGGUAGGGCUAGGGCUUUGACUUUUUUUUUCUUUCACACCAGCACAGGGCUUUGACUUUUUUUUUCUUUCACUUUGGGCGCUCCGCCAUUAACACAUCACAGACACAGUUGGUAGUACUAGUAGUACCGCGUGAAGUGAAGGCAGCCAAGCCAGCCAGCCGCGCGGUGGUCCAGCCUUUUCACUGCACCUCCUGCCUGGGCGUGGUGCCUGUCCUGUCCUGUGAUUUCUUUCUUCGUCCAAGAAACUGCUGCCAAGCAAGUGUUUACUAACGAUGAUCAUAUCGGUUGCAAAUUAAAAUGCAGGGUGCCGUGCCGCAAGUCCGGCGGCGUGCGGUUCACCAUCAACGGCUUCCGGUACUUCAACCUGGUGCUGAUCACGAAC